rnacentral:rRNA from 1 species
UACAGAGGUCCCAAGCGUUGUUCGGAUUCAUUGGGCGUAAAGGGUGCGUAGGCGGUGCUGUAAGUGGGGCGUGAAAUCCCGGGGCUUAACCCCGGGACUGCAUUCCAUACUGCGGUGCUUGAGGACUGGAGAGGAGACUGGAAUUUACGGUGUAGCAGUGAAAUGCGUAGAGAUCGUAAGGAAGACCAGUGGCGAAGGCGGGUCUCUGGACAGUUCCUGACACUGAGGCACGAAGGCCAGGGGAGCAAACGGG